rnacentral:rRNA from 1 species
CACGUAGGGACCAAGCGUUGUCCGGAUUUAUUGGGCGUAAAGAGCUCGUAGGCGGUUCGGUAAGUCGGGUGUGAAAACUCUGGGCUCAACUCGGAGAGGCCACCCGAUACUGCCGUGACUUGAGUACGGUAGGGGAGCACGGAAUUCCUGGUGUAGCGGUGAAAUGCGCAGAUAUCAGGAGGAACACCGGUGGCGAAGGCGGUGCUCUGGACAGUGACUGACGCUGAGACGCGAAAGCGUGGGGAGCAAACAGG